AGGGCACCACCAGGAGUGGAGCCUGCGGCUUAAUUUGACUCAACACGGGAAAACUCACCCGGCCCGAACACCGUAAGGAUUGACAGACUGAGAGCUCUUUCUUAAUUCGGUGGGUGGUGGUGCAUGGCCGUUCUUAGUUGGUGGAGCGAUUUGUCUGGUUAAUUCCGAUAACGAACGAGACUCUGGCCUAUUAAAUAGUCGGUAUAUCCAGAAAAGUUUACCGUACUUCUUAGAGGGACAAACGGCGUCUAGCCGCGUGAAAUAGAGCAAUAACAGGUCUGUGAUGCCCUUAGAUGUCCGGGGCUGCACGCGCGCUACACUGAAAGAAUCAGUAUGGCGCUUUAACCUAGUCCGGAAGGAAUUGGGUAACCCGAGCAAAAUUCUUUCGUGCUUGGGAUUAGGGAAAUUGCAAUUAUUUUCCUUUAAACGGAAGGAAUCCCAGUAAAAGGCGGGUCAUAAGCUCGCGUUGAUUACGUUCCCUGCCCUUUGGACAAACCGCCGUGGUUAUACAGAUGGAUG
rnacentral:rRNA from 1 species